rnacentral:misc_RNA from 1 species
AAGUCGUAACAAGGUUUCCGUAGGUGAACCUGCGGAAGGAUCAUUAGCGAAGUCAAGGUCUCUCCCUAGUAGGAUUGCAGCUGGUCGCAAGACACGUGCUCGUCCGGACAGGUCCGACCCUUCACUACCCACCCCACUGUGAACCAAGCAGGAGGUCGAAAGGCCUCUUGCAAAUCUUAUAUACCCCAAAAGCAUGUCUUUGAAUGUCAUAGCGUUAACUCGCAAAUAUACAACUUUCAACAACGGAUCUCUUGGCUCUC